rnacentral:lncRNA from 1 species
UAUACUUAAUAUUACAUUUUUUUUUAUUAUUGUGUUCAAUUGACAGUCUUAAUAUCUAACAUUGAAACUCUUCAAUAUCUUAGAUGCAAUGAAAAUUAUAGGGGAUUUACAGGCAGGAAUUGCUGAUAGAAUGAAAAAUGUCUGGAAGAAAAGUUUUCCCUUUCUUUUUAAGAGUUUAAAACUCAGAAGCCAUCCUGAGAGUCAGUCCUGCUGUCCAACAGAGAAAUUCCAUAUCCAAUUAACUUAUUUGGAAGCUAAUGCUGAAGCUAUCUUUACAUCCUGUAUUCUCAAGAUCAGAUCAUGCCUAAUAAUCCUAUUGAAA